rnacentral:rRNA from 1 species
AGGGUUUGAUCAUGGCUCAGAACGUACGCUGGCGGCACGCCUAACACAUGCAAGUCGAACGAAGUAGCAAUACUUAGUGGCAGACGGGUGAGUAACAUGUGGGUAUCUGCCCUUUGGCCUGGAAUAACACGAGGAAACUUGUGCUAAUACCGGAUAAGUCUUUACGGAGAAAGCUUUAUGCACCAUUGGAUGAGCCCGCACUUGAUUAGUUUGUUGGUGGGGUAAUGGCCUACCAAGACUGUGAUCAAUAGCUGAUUUGAGAGGAUGAUCAGCCACAUUGGGACUGAGACACGGCCCAAACUCCUACGGGAGGCAGCAGUGGGGAAUCUUGCACAAUGGAGGAAACUCUGAUGCAGCGAUGCCGCGUGAGUGAAGAAGGCCCUUGGGUUGUAAAGCUCUUUCGUCGGGGAAGAAAAUGACUGUACCCGAAUAAGAAGGUCCGGCUAACUUCGUGCCAGCAGCCGCGGUAAUACGAAGGGACCUAGCGUAGUUCGGAAUUACUGGGCUUAAAGAGUUCGUAGGUGGUUGAAAUAGUUAGUGGUGAAAUCCCAGAGCUUAACUCUGGAACUGCCAUUAAAACUUUUCAGCUAGAGUAUGAUAGAGGAAAGCAGAAUUUCUAGUGUAGAGGUGAAAUUCGUAGAUAUUAGAAAGAAUACCAAUUGCGAAGGCAGCUUUCUGGAUCAUUACUGACACUGAGGAACGAAAGCAUGGGUAGCGAAGAGGAUUAGAUACCCUCGUAGUCCAUGCCGUAAACGAUGUGUGUUAGACGUUGGAAAUUUAUUUUCAGUGUCGCAGCGAAAGCGAUAAACACACCGCCUGGGGAGUACGACCGCAAGGUUAAAACUCAAAUGAAUUGACGGGGACCCGCACAAGUAGUGGAGCAUGUGGUUUAAUUCGAAGAUACGCGCAGAACCUUACCAACACUUGACAUGUUCGUCGCGACUCUAAGAGAUUAGAGUUUUCGGUUCGGCCGGACGAAACACAGGUGCUGCAUGGCUGUCGUCAGCUCGUGUCGUGAGAUGUUGGGUUAAGUCCCGCAACGAGCGCAACCCUCACUUUUAGUUGCCAUCAUUAAGUUGGGCACUCUGAAAGAACUGCCAGUGAUAAGCUGGAGGAAGGUGGGGAUGACGUCAAGUCCUCAUGGCCCUUACGUGUUGGGCUACACACGUGCUACAAUGGUAUCUACAACAGGAAGCAAGACUGCGAGGUCAAGCAAAUCCUUAAAAGAUACCUCAGUUCGGAUUGCACUCUGCAACUCGAGUGCAUGAAGCUGGAAUUACUAGUAAUCGUGGAUCAGCGUGCCACGGUGAAUGCGUUCCCGGGUCUUGUACACACCGCCCGUCACACCAUGGGAGUUGGUUCUACCUUAAGGCAAGGUUUCAAACCCUUGACCACGGUAUAGUCAGCGACUGGGGUGAAGUCGUAACAAGGUAACCGUA